UGGGGAAUAUUGCACAAUGGGCGCAAGCCUGAUGCAGCCAUGCCGCGUGUGUGAAGAAGGCCUUCGGGUUGUAAGCACUUUCAGCGAGGAGGAAGGUGGUGAGCUUAAUACGCUCAUCAAUUGACGUUACUCGCAGAAGAAGCACCGGCUAACUCCGUGCCAGCAGCCGCGGUAAUACGGAGGGUGCAAGCGUUAAUCGGAAUUACUGGGCGUAAAGCGCACGCAGGCGGUUUGUUAAGUCAGAUGUGAAAUCCCCGGGCUCAACCUGGGAACUGCAUUUGAAACUGGCAAGCUAGAGUCUCGUAGAGGGGGGUAGAAUUCCAGGUGUAGCGGUGAAAUGCGUAGAGGAUCUGGAGGAAUACCGGUGGCGAAGGCGGCCCCCUGGACGAAGACUGACGCUCAGGUG
rnacentral:rRNA from 1 species